UACGUAGGUGGCGAGCGUUGUCCGGAUUUACUGGGCGUAAAGAGCGCGCAGGCGGUCGUUCAAGUCGCGUGUGAAAGCCCCCGGCUCAACUGGGGAGGGUCACGCGAUACUGAUCGACUCGAAGGCAGGAGAGGGAAGUGGAAUUCCCGGUGUAGUGGUGAAAUGCGUAGAGAUCGGGAGGAACACCAGUUGGCGAAGGCGGCUCUCUGGACCAGCACUGACACUGAGGCACGAAAGCGUGGGGAGCAAACAGG
rnacentral:rRNA from 1 species